UACGUAGGGGGCUAGCGUUGUCCGGAUUUAUUGGGCGUAAAGAGCUCGUAGGCGGCUUAGUAAGUCGGGUGUGAAACCUCCAGGCUCAACCUGGAGACGCCACCCGAUACUGCUGUGGCUAGAGUCCGGUAGGGGAGCGUGGAAUUCCUGGUGUAGCGGUGAAGUGCGCAGAUAUCAGGAGGAACACCAGCGGCGAAGGCGGCGCUCUGGGCCGGUACUGACGCUGAGGAGCGAAAGCGUGGGGAGCAAACAGG
rnacentral:rRNA from 1 species